ACAUCAAGCCCAGCGCAUAAACCGAUAUUCACGCUCAGCAAUUAUCGCACGCUUCAUCACCGAACAUGCCUUCAUGCCUCUGCCCAGUGCGGGGCUAACUUGGCUAUAAUCGAGCUUAUCAGCUGUGUGAUCUAAUAAAUGUGUCACGCACAAAACACUAAUCCAAUAAUACAAUCAAACAAUCAGAUAUACAUACAUACAAACCAACGAACAAUGAAGGCAUGACAUUAAGAGACAAAAGACAGCCAAAACAACAAGCAACAAAGGUAAUUGCAACAGUAACCGAAAGGCUGACAAUUGUAAGCGUCAAAUGUCAAAUUGUAAUUAAUUUUUGUCAUCACAACAAACAAAGCAUAGCGUAGUGAAGCGCAGCAACUGGAAAGAAAGAAAGGUUUGAAUGCCACAGAUUGUGCACCGAUACAAAGAUAUACAAACAUAGGUCUGAAGGCAUUUGCGGGUGGCGGAAAACUAAUCACAACGCGAUGUGUAAGCAACGGAUAAGGCGCACAGGCUAUGAGUGUCUACAUAGGACAUACAUACAGCAAUACAACAUAAAUCCAAUUGUAGGCUACGCGGUAGCGAUGAUGGCCGCAGUGGCUCGUUAAAAAUCGAUCACGCAACAAGACGGUUGAUCGUCAAAGGCUGAUAUAAUUUACGAGCUGCCUUAAAAACUGUCACAACUUGAUGUGAAUUUCCACAACAACACAUGCAUAUGGAUGAAUUGCCAUGUGGGCAAUUGCCGGCGGUAUUUGGCCUUCAGAAUUUUCACUGAUUAUUAAAUACGAAAGCUUAUCAGUUGCCGUCAUGUCACAGCAAGAUGCCGCUUAAUGAGUAUGCUUAAGCUCAAAGUUUUAUCAUCAUGACAGAGUUUUGACAUGCCACUCUGCAGAUAGCUCUUAAUAUAAGAGAAGACUGGUGGCUUCUGACCAGAUUUAUACUGCUGAGUAGGUAACCCAAAGUUAGUUUUUGCAGAUCGCACCAUAAUAUCAACAACUUAACGUAUCACAUGAACAUAUCACAUCACAUGAACAUAUCACAUCACAUGUGCAUAUCACAUCACAUAUAUAAUGAACUUCAUUGAGUGUCUAAGGCAUACAGAGAAGAGAUUCUCCCAUCAAAAUUUAAAUCGAAUUCAAGAAGAUGAGGAGUUUACUGGAUUUGCUAUAUCUACGUUUGAAUGCAAAUCAGUCUUACAGAGAUGUCUCAAGGAAAUUUCGGAGAUUUCUCUCUUUUUUCCAGAUGCUCUAAUAACUUGGUAUAUUUUACGAAAAUCUGAAGUUUUAUAAUACCUAGAGAUGCCAGCUCUUUUAAGCAAACAAAGAAGAAAUUUCCGAAAAAUCGAUAACGAACAGCAUUGAGAGCUGGGCAGUGGCAGAGAAGUUGGUUUCGAAACAGCCCAUCCCACCACCAUGAGUUCCCACAGCAUAGUGUUCGGUCAAAAAGCCGGUUGUUAUGCUUAUG